CUCUGACCUCAAAUCAGGUAGGACU
rnacentral:rRNA from 1 species